AAGACUCCAAGAUUAGAUCAUUAAUUUCUUUAUAUAUUGAUAUAAAAAUCUAAACUAAGAAUUAUCAUCGUACGAAAAGAAUGGAGGGUGACAAACAUAAUAAUUCUAAGACAAUUUUUUCAAUGCAUAAAAAAUAAUCCUACGACAAUGAUUAUAUCAGAGGAUAUAGUUGAAGAGAUAUUUCAAUAUCUUCCAAUAAAAUCACUAGCUAGAUUCAAAGUCUUGUAAAAAAAUGGAGAUCAAUGAUCAAAUCAACCUACUUUUCCCACAAAUGACUCGUUCGUACAGGUUUACCAACCCCUAAUAUGAAAUAUCUUCAUGUUAGUCAACACUUUUCAGCGAAUUUUGUUGAAGAAGAUUCAACUCAAUAACUUUUCUUUUGGAGACUUUUUCUAGAGAUGACCAUAACAACGGAAAAAACUGUCAUUCUUCUUCUUGUUACUACACUUUUCCUGAUGAUCCAAUCGACAAAUGUCAAAAUAAAACCAUUCAAGUAUUGGGAUCUUGUGAUGGAUUGGUCUUGAUUCAGAUCCAUGACGAUUUUAGGCACAUUUACUUGAUCAAUCCUUCGACUAAAGAACACAUGAAACUUUCCAAAGUGGUGCGUCGUUGGUACGCACCUUGGUUACUUUCUUAGAUUACAUGACCGUGCAUACAUGAUAUUUGUUAUUAUUAGUUAAACUUAUACAUAUCAACUUGAUUACUUUUUUUAGCUUUGUAGUAUCCGAAAAAACUUUUCAUGCAUGCUCCGUUAGACCUUUCGAUCUGCGGUAAUUUCCGUAACGUUCGCGUAGCCAGGUUGCAAAUUAAAUCGCAACCUCAGUAUCUUGAAGGCAAAUCAAACCUUGGAUGGGUUUAGAAACAUUUCAAAGUGGUGUUUCGUUGGUACACAUCUCUUGUUGACCGGAAGACAAGAACAAUGCUUCCUCCUCUUGACAAACAGAAUGAAACAACGUUUCGGGUUUGUUUUGGUAGAUUGGUAAAACAUUGGUGACGAACAACACUCGAGGCUUUUUCAUUGAUCAACUCAAGUAAAUUUCUCUGAAUUCUACGGAGCAAAUAAAUGAUGCACAUUGCUUUGAGACGCAUAGCCAUUUCGCCAAGACUUUUAGAGGCAUCGGUAACAGAAUCUUCAUUUGUAGAUCAUAAGGAAGUGUUUCAAAGCUUGAAUUCUCCAUUCUUGUUUUUUUGUU
rnacentral:sRNA from 1 species